UAACCUGCCUUGUAGCGGGGGAGUAACUAUUGGAAACGAUAGCUAAUACCGCAUAACAAUGGAUGACACAUGUCAUUUAUUUGAAAGGGGCAAUUGCUCCACUACAAGAUGGACCUGCGUUGUAUUAGCUAGUAGGUGAGGUAACGGCUCACCUAGGCGACGAUACAUAGCCGACCUGAGAGGGUGAUCGGCCACACUGGGACUGAGACACGGCCCAG
rnacentral:rRNA from 1 species